AUGAACGCUGGCGGCAUGCCUUACACAUGCAAGUCGAACGGCAGCACGGGAGCAAUCCUGGUGGCGAGUGGCGAACGGGUGAGUAAUAUAUCGGAACGUGCCCAAUCGUGGGGGAUAACGUAGCGAAAGCUACGCUAAUACCGCAUACGAUCUAUGGAUGAAAGCGGGGGAUCGCAAGACCUCGCGCGAUUGGAGCGGCCGAUAUCAGAUUAGGUAGGUUGGUGGGGUAAAAGCCUACCAAGCCUUCGAUCUGUAGCUGGUCUGAGAGGACGACCAGCCACACUGGAACUGAGACACGGUCCAGACUCCUACGGGAGGCAGCAGUGGGGAAUUUUGGACAAUGGGCGCAAGCCUGAUCCAGCAAUGCCGCGUGCAGGAUGAAGGCCUUCGGGUUGUAAACUGCUUUUGUACGGAACGAAACGGUUCUUUCUAAUAAAGAGGGCUAAUGACGGUACCGUAAGAAUAAGCACCGGCUAACUACGUG
rnacentral:rRNA from 1 species